GAUGAACGCUGGCGGCGUGCCUAAUACAUGCAAGUCGAGCGAACAGACGAGGAGCUUGCUCCUCUGACGUUAGCGGCGGACGGGUGAGUAACACGUGGAUAACCUACCUAUAAGACUGGGAUAACUUCGGGAAACCGGAGCUAAUACCGGAGAAUAUAUUGAACCGCAUGGGUCAAUAGUGAAAUACGGUUUUUCUGUCACGUAUAGAUGGAUCCGCGCCGCAUUAGAUAGUUGGUAAGGUAACGGCUUACCAAGGGAACGAGGCGUAGCCGAACGGAGAGGGGGAUAGCCGACACUGGAACUGAGACAGGGACCAGACUCCUACGGGAGGCAGCAGUAGGGAAUCUUACGCAAUGGGCGAAAGCAUGACGGAGCAACGCCGAGUGAGUGAUGACGGUCUUCGGAUCGUAAAACUCUGUUACUAGGGAAGAACAAAUGUGUAAGUAACUAUGCACGUCUUGACGGUAACUAAUCAGAAAGCAACGGCUAACUACGUG
rnacentral:rRNA from 1 species